ensembl:ncRNA T24A11.6 ncRNA
AAAAAAUUGGGAUUUUUUUUGAAUGGAAAAUUUUAGGCAAAAAAUGCUUGUGUAUUGGCAGUAUGUAGGCAGGUAGGGAUUAAAAAAAUGGGCAAUUGAUUUAAUUUAUAAAUUUUCAUAAGAUUUUGUAAACUAAGAACUUUUCUGUAA